rnacentral:rRNA from 1 species
GGUGUUCGGGUUGUCAUGCCAAUGGCACUGCCCGGUAGCUAAAUGCGGAAGAGAUAAGUGCUGAAAGCAUCUAAGCACGAAACUUGCCCCGAGAUGAGUUCUCCCUGAGACUUUAAGUCUCCUGAAGGAACGUUGAAGACGACGACGUUGAUAGGUCGGGUGUGUAAGCGCAGCGAUGCGUUGAGCUAACCGAUACUAAUGAACCGUGAGGCUUAACCUU